GACGAACGCUGGCGGCGUGCCUAAUACAUGCAAGUCGAACGCACUCUCGUUUAGAUUGAAGGAGUUUGCUCCUGAUUGAUAAACAUUUGAGUGAGUGGCGGACGGGUGAGUAACACGUGGGUAACCUGCCCUAAAGUGGGGGAUAACAUUUGGAAACAGAUGCUAAUACCGCAUAAAACCUAACACCGCAUGGUGUAGGGUUGAAAGAUGGUUUCGGCUAUCACUUUAGGAUGGACCCGCGGUGCAUUAGUUAGUUGGUGAGGUAAAGGCUCACCAAGACGGUGAUGCAACGCCGACCUGAGGGGGUAAUGGGCAACACUGGGACUGAGACACGGCCCAGACUCCUAGGGGAGGCAGCAGGAGGGAAUCUUCCAAAAUGGACGAAAGUCUGAUGGAGCAACGCGGGGGGAGUGAAGAAGGUUUUCGGAUCGUAAAACUUUUUUGUUGGAGAAGAAUGUAUCUGAUAGUAACUGAUCAGGUAGUGACGGUAUCAAACCAAAAAGCCACGGCUAACCACGU
rnacentral:rRNA from 1 species